ACGGGUGAGUAACACGUGGGCAAUCUGCCCUGCACUCUGGGAUAAGCCCGGGAAACUGGGUCUAAUACCGGAUACGACACUCCGAGGCAUCUUGGGGUGUGGAAAGUUCCGGCGGUGCAGGAUGAGCCCGCGGCCUAUCAGCUUGUUGGUGGGGUAAUGGCCUACCAAGGCGACGACGGGUAGCCGGCCUGAGAGGGUGACCGGCCACACUGGGACUGAGACACGGCCCAGACUCCUACGGGAGGCAGCAGUGGGGAAUAUUGCACAAUGGGCGAAAGCCUGAUGCAGCGACGCCGCGUGAGGGAUGACGGCCUUCGGGUUGUAAACCUCUUUCAGCAGGGAAGAAGCGAAAGUGACGGUACCUGCAGAAGAAGCACCGGCUAACUACGUGCCAGCAGCCGCGGUAAUACGUAGGGUGCGAGCGUUGUCCGGAAUUAUUGGGCGUAAAGAGCUCGUAGGCGGUUUGUCGCGUCGAUUGUGAAAGCCCGGGGCUUAACCCUGGGUCUGCAGUCGAUACGGGCAGGCUAGAGUUCGGCAGGGGAGACUGGAAUUCCUGGUGUAGCGGUGAAAUGCGCAGAUAUCAGGAGGAACACCGGUGGCGAAGGCGGGUCUCUGGGCCGAUACUGACGCUGAGGAGCGAAAGCGUGGGGAGCGAACAGGAUUAGAUACCCUGGUAGUCCACGCCGUAAA
rnacentral:rRNA from 1 species